GAUGAACGCUGACAGAAUGCUUAACACAUCAGCAAUUGAUUGGUGGCGGACGGGUGAGUAACGCGUAAAGAACUUGCCUCACAGCUAGGGACAACAUUUGGAAACGAAUGCUAAUACCUAAUACUGUGAGAGAGCUUUGCGUCCCAUUAGCUAGUUGGAGAGGUAACGGCGCACCAAGGCGAGGAUGGGGAGCCGGCCUGCGAGGGUGAUCGGCCACAAGGGGACUGAGAAACGGCCAGUACUCCUACGGGAGGAAGCAGUGAGGAAUAGUGGUCAAUGGACCAAAGUCUGAUCCAGGAAUUCGGUGUGCACGAUGAAGUUUUCGGAAUGUAAAGUGCUUUCAGUUGGGAAGCGGUACCAACAGAAGAAGUGACGGCUAAAUACGUGCCAGCAGCCGCGGUAAUUC
rnacentral:rRNA from 1 species